GGGGGUUUAGCUCAGUGGUAGAGCGCUUGCCUAGCAAGCACAAGGCCCUGGGUCCGGUCCCCAGCUCCG
rnacentral:tRNA from 1 species